UACGUAGGCAGCAAGCGUUGUUCGGAAUUACUGGGCGUAAAGAGUGUGUAGGCGGUGCUCUAAGUUCGGUGUGAAAUCUCCCGGCUCAACUGGGAGGGUGCGCCGAAAACUGGAGUGCUGGAGCGCGGGAGAGGAGAGUGGAAUUCCUGGUGUAGCGGUGGAAUGCGCAGAUAUCAGGAAGAACACCCGUGGCGAAGGCGGCUCUCUGGAACGCAACUGACGCUGAGACGCGAAAGCGUGGGGAGCAAACAGG
rnacentral:rRNA from 1 species